rnacentral:rRNA from 1 species
UACAGAGGGGGCAAGCGUUAUUCGGAAUUAUUGGGCGUAAAGGGCGCGUAGGCGGCCGGACAAGUGGAAGGUGAAAUCCCCGAGCUCAACUCGGGAACUGCCCUCCAAACUGUUUGGCUUGAGUCCGGGAGAGGUGAGUGGAAUUCCCAGUGUAGCGGUGAAAUGCGUAGAUAUUGGGAGGAACACCAGUGGCGAAGGCGGCUCACUGGACCGGAACUGACGCUGAGGCGCGAAAGCGUGGGGAGCAAACGGG